UAAAUGUUUCAAUAAAAAAUGUAUUGAUUUUUUAAAAUCUACAUGUUUUUAAACAUAAAGCAACAUGAAUUUAUUUAAAUCACAUUUCAUACCCAGUUUUCACUAUUAUCCAGGCUUUGUUAUAACAAAGUACGAACUCGUUUCAUACAUCGUUCUCAUUCCGCGUUACUUUCUACGAAUAAUAGGAUUACUCGUCUAUGUAUGUGUAGAAAUAAAUUUUCACUGUCUUUAACAAGAUCUUGACUAGUAUCGAUGGAAGCUCAUAUGAAUAGAGAGUUCCCAGAAUAUACGGCCCUGGCCUUGCACUCUCUCACGCAGGUACUUUUCGACUGAAAGCAAGGACUUCCACUUCGCUGUACCUCCUCCUACUCUUCGAGAUAACGUUCCAGAAGAGCUAACGAGCACAGUUUCGAGCUCGUGCACUCGCUCAAGCCGACAAGUGAGCAUACACAGUAUGAAGUAUACCUGUACGAGCUACAGGCAUCAAAGGAAGAGAAACUCGCUUGCGUCCCUGAGAUACACGGCGAACGUGAGAAAGGUUUCUUCGUACAUCCUGCUUACACUUUGUGAACACAUGAAAUUCCUAUAUCUGCAGCCCUGCAAUUCCACGGAGGUUCUCUCUUAUGGUGUAUGCACUCGCACACCAUCGAACUUUACCUAUCGUCUACCGCAGGUAUCAAAUAGACUGGUAAACUGAAUCGAAUGUUCGAAACCGAAUCGAAUAUUCAAAGAUGCUUCGAAUACCACAUCUUCCAGCUUUCCCUAUCAAUCGAGUCUCUGGCAUUAAGGCGAUUCAUCGUGAAGUUGUUCACAUGCACGAAGUCCCAUGAAGCGUUUUCGUGAUGGAGAAGCAUCAUUGGCUUCCCUCUUGCAACCGCUAUCGUAUGAUCCUACCAACGAUCCAGAUCAGUUCAAUCCGCUCAAGAACGUUAAGUUAAUCGGAGCUUAUCUCUACGACUCUAAUAAUACGAUUCUCAUUCAAAUCACCCUCGAACAAUUUUUGUCUCUUCAUAUUUCGAUAUUGUUAUUUAUUUAUAGGAAAGGGAAACGGUACUCCAUAUAGAAAGUCUUCAACAAAAUAAGUAUCUUUACUAAUCAUAUGUCCAGAAUAACAAUUAAGAUAAAAGUUCAUCAUGCUCGUCGAUAUAAAUGUGAAAAGUGUAACAUUCAAAUCUUAAAUAAAGCAUCAAAUGUGUAUAAAUCAUAUCGUAGAAAUUGUUACUUGUUAAUAUGCUCAUGAUUUGGUAAUAAUGUUUUCUUUUCUUCUAAACGAAUACGAACAAACGACUUUAGUCAGAUGAUUUUAAUAUUUGAAAGAUAGGCAUACAAAAGACUAUAUAUAAAAAAAAAAAAAAAACUAUAUAUUAUUCACUAUCUAUAAUACAAACAUAAAUACAGCCAUUAUCAAUCGCUGGUCUAAUUUCUCGUUGACGUAAUGCUAAUAGCUUUAAACGGUAAAAAUAUUUGAAGUAGAAUGAAGUAGGAAACGAUUUUUACGUAAUUAUAUAAAGAAAACUAUCCUGGAAACAUUUCAAAUGGGGAACUACUUGGGACACAAAAGAUAUUCCUUGUUAAAGUUAAAGAACUUUGAAAAUUACUUGGGUUUCAUUAAAUAUUAUGUAUAGUAAUCUUAUUUAGAAACUGUUGUUUCUUGAUGAGAAAGAAUUCUUUCUAUUGUAAAAAAAGAAAACGAUAAGAUAAUAUUCAAGAAGGUCAUCUGAAUAUUAUGAAAAAAGAAACAUAUUUUUCAAUGAUGUCAAAAGAAAUAUUUAAAAAGCUCAACUUUAAAUGUUACAACUAUAAUUUGUAUUUAAUCUUAUUAAUUUUUCAAUUUUUAAGAUCCAUGGACGUUUAAGAAACAAUAUAAAUUUAAUAAAUAUCGAUAUGGGAAAAUUUAUUUUUCACCAAAAAUGUUACAAAAAUUCUUGAUCCAUUUUGACAAAAGUAUCGGGUCAAAAAACUAUUGAAGUUAGCAAGCCUUAUAGGACUCGAAUUGCACCUACCGAUCGACACAUACACACGCACACUAUUAUAAUCACACUCUUUAUUUUAGUAACAAAACAACAUCCGGCAUGCUUUUAAGAAUAAAAUGUCGUCGCUCAACACACGACUUCAACGGUAUCGCCUCAUUCGCCGAACAUCCGGCGCUAUCAAUAUUCUUUUGUUUAUAAUGAUUAAAUUUUGGUUAGCGCAUUAGAUUAUCACCAUUUGAUAUUACCAUUGACAAUUUCCGCUUCUAUAUACGUGUACAUAAAAAUGUAUUUUAAAUAUAAAAAAUAAAAACGAAAUGCAAUAACAAUGGAAAAUUUCGUGAAAAUCUUAUAUAAAUAGCUGCGUUAAACAAACAAUGUUCUAAAUUCUUUUUAAAACGUCUCACACUAAAAUACUUAAAUACUUAUCGCUUAAAUAUAUCUAACUAGCAUUUACGUCAUUCGUAUUAACUGUGAAAAUAUUUAAUUAAUCGGGUUAACGACAAUAAAGCAUUAUCUUUUUUAAAAAAAAAUCGAAAUUACACGAAAAAUCUAAUCGAAUUUUUUAUAUAAUGCACGUUUCACGAAUUUAUUACAGAUAAGGUGUUUUGGAUAAUGUUAUAAGCCUUUCAUAAUAUUUCAAGAUUAAAGAGAUUUGAGAAAUCUGAAGUCUGUGAAUUUUUUCAACGACACAAUCACGUUUGAAAAGCCCAUGCACGACACGUGGGAAGAUACGAAAUGUAUGGGAAACGAUAGCCGUCUAUUUGCGUGCGAUUUCGUCAUUGUAGCCUUCUCGUUUCAACAUCUUCGACCCCAAGCUAGAUUAAAUAAAAACUUGAAAGACAACAACAUUGAUAUCAUAAACAUGCAAUCAUGUUCAUUCUUUAACAUUUAACUAUGAGAAUGUACUU